rnacentral:rRNA from 1 species
GACGUAGGAGGCGAGCGUUGUCCGGAAUUACUGGGCGUAAAGAGCGCGUAGGCGGCCCUGUACGUGUGGGAUGAAAGCCCCCUGCUCAACGGGGGGAGGGUUCCACAAACGAGAGGGCUCAAUGGAGUGUGGAGGGGGAGUGCGGAACGGCCGGUGGAGCGGUGAAAUGCGUAGAGAUCGGCCAGAACACCAGUGGCGAAGGCGGCACUCUGGGCCACAACUGACGCUGAGGCGCGAAAGCGUGGGGAGCGAACGGA